rnacentral:rRNA from 1 species
GAGUUGUAAUCUGGAGAAGCGUUUUCCGUGUCGGACCGUGCACAAGUCUCUUGGAACAGAGCGUCAUAGAGGGUGAGAAUCCCGUUUUAUGGCACGGACACCCGAUACUUUGUGAUACGUUUUCUAAGAGUCGAGUUGUUUGGGAAUGCAGCUCAAAAUGGGUGGUAAAUUCCAUCUAAAGCUAAAUAUAGGCGAGAGACCGAUAGCGAACAAGUACCGUGAGGGAAAGAUGAAAAGCACUUUGGAAAGAGAGUUAAACAGUACGUGAAAUUGUUGAAAGGGAAACGCUUGAAGUCAGUCGCGUCUUCUAGGACUCAGCCUUACUUCGGUUAGGUGUACUUCCUGGUUUGACGGGUCAACAUCGAUUUUGAUCGACGGAUAAAGGAGAAGGGAAUGUGGCACCUUCGGGUGUGUUAUAGCCCUCUUCGUAUACGUCGAUUGGGAUCGAGGACUGCAGCACGCCCUUGUGGCCGGGGGUUCGCCCUACGUAUCGUGCUUAGGAUGUUGACAUAAUGGCUUUAAGCGACCCGUCUUGAAACACGGACCAAGGAGUCUAACAUGCUCGCGAGUGUUAGGGUGGAAAACCCUUGCGCGUAAUGAAAGUGAAAGUUGGGACCUCUGCAAGGAGGGCACCGACGCCCGGCCCUGAAGUUCUCUGACGGUGCUGCGGUAGAGCGCGUAUGUUGGGWCCCGAAAGAUGGUGAACUAUGCCUGAAUAGGGCGAAGCCAGAGGAAACUC